CUCAAACUCCUGACCUAAGGUGAUCUGCCUGCCUCAGCCUCCCAAAGUGCUGGAAUUACAGGCGUGAGCUACUGUGCAGGCCCGGUCUUGACCAGAAUCAUUUCAAUCUUCCUUUUUGGACCAUUUGCAUCCAGAUUGUCUUCUGUGAAUCCAGCUUCAAAAAUGACCACCAGAGCAAUGUUCUUAAUAUUUAUGAGGAUACAUAAGGAAUGCAGAAGAUAUUGGUGGAGACCUUUUUUGGAGAGAAUGUUCGUGUACUGUGCAUUCUAGCUCCCUCUGUAGGGAAGUGAUCAGGUACUUCUCCACAAUCUCAAGCUGCCAGUUGAGUAAGCAGUGGUUUUGGAGAGUCACUGGGAGAGCUGCACAUGCCACCCAGGCAUUCAGAGCCAUCAAGAUCCCAUACCUGAUUUCCACCAGAAAACAUCUAAAGGAAGUCUCUGAAGAUGAAUUCCAAAACGGAAGAGGAGGGGACUGGAUCCAAGACAUCAGAGACUAGACAGGACCAAGAGCUCUUGAAGGACGGUCUCCAGGAACACAGCAUAGAAAGUGGACUCCACAACUGGAAGAACUUGAAGACAGGAAAAAGGCACAGAAGGAAAGAUUAUAAAUAAACAGUUUUACCCUAGGUAAAACAAAACACUGGAUGAGAAA